rnacentral:rRNA from 1 species
UACGUAGGGGGCAAGCGUUGUCCGGAUUUAUUGGGCGUAAAGAGCGUGUAGGCGGCUUGGUAGGUCCGCUGUGAAAACUCGAGGCUCAACCUCGAGAUGUCGGCGGAAACCACUUGGCUAGAGUCCGGAAGAGGAGAGUGGAAUUCCCGGUGUAGCGGUGAAAUGCGCAGAUAUCGGGAAGAACACCUAUGGCGAAGGCAGCUCUCUGGGCCGAUACUGACGCUGAGGAGCGAAAGCAUGGGGAGCGAACAGG